ACUAUGGAAGUUGUAGACCUCACAGCAAGGAAUGCUGGGAAGGGAAGCUGUGUGUGUGUAUAUAUGAGCUCCCUUUUUGUCAUUUGAGAAACAAACCUGGAGGGAAAUGAUCUUUCAUAUCCUUUGAUAGGGACUAUAGAGCUGUUUCUGAAGCUGCCCAAAAGAGGGGGAUCAGCAAGAAAAUUCUGGAAAGGGAUAAUUUUCUAUUCUGGAACUGCUAAUGGGGGAUUCUAGAAAGGGGCUAACCCCAGGAGUUGGUUGAGGGAAGAGGUACUGGGCAACGAAACCAAGAAGAGCUUGCAGGACUGGAUCAAUAUUUACUUCUUCUCUUGGGGCCUGGAGUCUGAACUUCUGCUAGAGGAUGUGAAGAAGCUUCCUUUUGUUUCCCUUUAAUUGAGAGACCACUAGAGAGCACUGUUCUUACAGCUCAGAGAGGAAAAGUUGGUCUUUCCUUUUUGUGGAAGAACUGGAUUUUUUUUUAAAUUUACCUCAAGGUCUAAAUUACCCAACCAGUCAGAAGGAUACUGAGGUGGCAGCUAAAUCGAACAACAGAAAGGCCAUCAGCCAGCAACUGACUCGGAUGAGAAAGAAAUGCUCCUUAUGGAUCAUUAUAGUAUCAUCACUGGAAGCCAACUAUUUGAACAUUAUGAAAAGAUUUUACAAAGAGGAUGGGAAGCAUUAAGCAAUACCUGAGACUAGCUAUCUCCAGGACUAGAACCACAAGCUAUGGCCAAAGAGAACAGUAGGCUCUUUCACUUCCAACCCCAACAAGAAGGAAAAGGAGCCAGAAAUCAGGCCUUGUCUGUACUUCAGGAAGGCACCUUGGCAUUGGGUUAUGGAACCUGGCCAAGAAGGUGACCAGGAGCUGGUAUAAUAUCCCAGAAAAGAUCAUGUCUGAGAAGAACAAGGGUUUGACUUUUCACAUAUGGCUCAGGAAGGGCAGGGUGCCAAGGUGCUCCCUUGAUCAUGGGCUGCUAUGUACUGGACUGGUCCCUUGGUGUAACUUAGAGCAGCCUCUGGCGGUGCAAGCUGCAAACAGUCUCCAGGAUAUGAUGCAGCAGUUUGAGAUCAGUGAGGGGACCUGAGUUGUCCCUUUCUGCCAGCCCUGCACACUGGGUGAGCCUCUGGAGUUCUCUUUGUUGCUCCAUGCCCAGAUUCUGUUGGAGCUGUGGUGCAAAGCGGCUACACUGUACCUUUGUGCCAGUACCUCUUUGUUGAGCAAGACUACCUGAAAAGACAAGACUACCUUGCACAGUAGUGAAGUACUACUAAAAUUAUUGAUUAGAGUGAUUGGACUUACAAAAGAGUAACCAACAAAUCAUUACACUUUCUUUGGGAGGGGAGCAGGAAAUGGAGUAUUGGAGAGCAUUGAGGUAGGGCAUAUACUCCCAAAGAACAUGUACUUGUGCAUGUAUCAAUGGGGUAAGCAGAAAUUUGGGUCAGCUGAACUGGUACUUGAAAAGGAAUUUGCUUUGUAUUAUUAAUGAGAGGCUCUUCACAGAGGGGAAUUUUGUCUUGAUCUCUUUAUUUUAGGUAUUGCUAAGACUCCAAUAAUCAUGGUAUCUACACACCAGAUCCUCCUGUACUCUUUUCUCUCUCUGCCACCCAGCCCAGUUUUCUUUUGUGUCUUCCCUCCCCCAUUUGUCAUUCUCUUCUGCUUGUUCUAUCUCUUUUGCCACAUCCAUUGCCUCUUUGCCUUUCCUCACUUACUAUCCUCAUGUUAUUCUAUUCACUGUGUAUUGUUUCCUUAUCCUACCUUCCUCAUCUUCUUUCACCCCUCCCUUCUUCCUUUCCCAGGUGCUACUGGUUGGUCCCCUAUAGCUACAUAUAUUUAUGUUGCCCCCUUUGUUCUAGAGGUUUGCUCUUUUGGCUUUUGCUGUUGGCUCUUUAAUCCCUGUCUCAUGAUCUCCAGCCUCUCUAUUUCACCACCUUCCUCCAUUCUCUCUUUCUCAACAAAGAGCAAAGGGCCCCAGAAGUCAGUACACAAAGCUUCAAGAAGCAAGUAGCUAGUAGCAGAGGCAGAAGCUUAGGGGGUCUGCUAUGUUUUUUUUAAUUGUGUGUCAGAGUAUUUGGCUCCCACUUGAUUGGGGAGAAAUGAGUAUGAGGGGGCAACUGUGCCAUUCUAUAUGUUGCAUAGGCCUUACAUUAACUCUGGGAUUAAGUUCGAGAUUUGUGUUUCAUAUAAUUCUCAUGUGUUGUUGUUAGUCCUUCCUUCCUUAUUAGAUAAUGAUCAUCAGUGCCAUCUCCCUAUUCUGAUCAUUUCUUGAAUGCUUACAGUGUCACCACUUCAUUUCAAGGCUUGUCCAGAGAACUUUUAUCUAUUCAUUAGAUUUUUCUUUUAUGCCUUUUCUUCAAGCCACACAUUUUCCCCCCUUCUGAUCUCUACGUACAUAAUUCACUUUCUUUGACUGUGUCUCUGUUCCUCUUAGGAAAAAACUAUCUCCAUUUUAUAUGUGACUUGUAUUUAAAAACAUUUUGUUUUUUACUCCACAUUCAAUAUUUUGUACUCCACAUUCAGUACUAAUUCAUGGUUUGUUUAA